CUUCGGUUAUAAGAUCCCUCAAAGAUGAUGAGGUUAAUAGGUUCGAGGUGGAAGCAUAGUGAUAUGUGGAGCUGACGAAUACUAAUCGAUCGAAGACUUAAUCAAAUU
rnacentral:rRNA from 1 species